GUGUCAUUUCAAAUCAGAAUUGUCACGACAACUGAUUCGAUUGACGUGGAUUAUUAACCUUCUUAAUCAAUUCCUGAGUAAUUUAUUAAUCCAAUUAUCGCGUAGACUGACGCCUGAUGGUCCAUGGGGAAAUAUCGAAGGAUAUAUCCGCGACAGACACUUUUGGCCAGGCACUUUGGACUUCAAAGGUCCUCUUAAUGGGAGAGCAGGUUCUAGAUUGCAGCCCCAGCAUGUCUGCCAAACUCAUUCCGUAAACUACGUCGAUGGCAGCUUUAUAUGCUCAAACAUAAAUCAUGCAUGAAUGUGGCAGAAAAGUGAUUCAAGUGGAUUGGGAGCGGAGGCGCAAUGGCGUACACAACUUUGUGCAAACUCUGACAAACAACAGGCGGCGGCAAAUUGCCCAACAAAUCAAUCAAAUACAUCUGACAGAUCCUGGAGGAGUCGAGGAAAAGUUCGGAUGCGCCACAGGACAUGUAAAUGAAAGCAGGAUGAAAACGAAAGGCCCUGGGCUGCCAUUAAAGUGGCUUGUCGAAUGGAGCGAACAACGCCGAUGACCGGACAUGAUGGCCAAUGAUGCGGUUCGAUUAUUUGGGCCUUGAUCAAAGUUUUAAGUUGCCAAGUUGAAGAGAGGAACGACCCGAUUAAAUAUUCAUUCUCAACCCCGAACCUUCAAUCAUUCUUUGAACUCUUGAUACGAAAAGUUCUGAAGGACACUUAAUUAUUUCCCUAAUUUUGAAGCUGCUCUUGAAUAUCAAGUGUGCGCCAUGUGUGCCAUAAAUUCUAGCUCAAGUGAACUCAACUUCCAAUCGACUUCAUUAUGCCACCUGCUCCUUCAGAAUGGAGGCCUUGGAUUCAGCCACCUGCUCAUCUCGUUCUGGAUCCGCCUCUGCAGUCUCAACUUUAAUUGCCAGGACUGCUCCUACAUUUUUCCAGCUUUCCCCCUGUUGUUUACUUUGCCUUACUUUGCAAUUUUCCUCCUUACACUUUUAGCCUGGCCCUCUGCGUCUUGGCGUUUAUUUAUUUUUCUGUGAGACUGCGCAUAUUUUGCCUCCAAAUUAAUUGUUGACAUUUGCAUCAAAAAAUAAGAAACAGAAACAUUUGAUCCUGCGGGCCUGUA